rnacentral:rRNA from 1 species
UACGAAGGGUGCAAGCGUUACUCGGAAUUACUGGGCGUAAAGCGUGCGUAGGUGGUGGUUUAAGUCUGUUGUGAAAGCCCUGGGCUCAACCUGGGAAUUGCAGUGGAUACUGGAUCACUAGAGUGUGGUAGAGGGUAGCGGAAUUCCCGGUGUAGCAGUGAAAUGCGUAGAGAUCGGGAGGAACAUCCGUGGCGAAGGCGGCUACCUGGACCAACACUGACACUGAGGCACGAAAGCGUGGGGAGCAAACAGG